rnacentral:rRNA from 1 species
UAGCAUAUCUGCAGACCAACAGGGAUUGCCCUAGUAACGGCGAGUGAAGCGGCAACAGCUCAAAUUUGAAAUCUGGCUCUCGGGCCCGAGUUGUAAUUUGUAGAGGAUGCUUUUGAUGCGGUGCCUUCCGAGUUCCCUGGAACGGGACGCCAUAGAGGGUGAGAGCCCCGUCUGGUUGGAUGCCAAAUCUCUGUAAAGCUCCUUCGACGAGUCGAGUAGUUUGGGAAUGCUGCUCUAAAUGGGAGGUAUAUGUCUUCUAAAGCUAAAUACCGGCCAGAGACCGAUAGCGCACAAGUAGAGUGAUCGAAAGAUGAAAAGCACUUUGAAAAGAGAGUUAAAAAGUACGUGAAAUUGUUGAAAGGGAAGCGUUUAUGACCAGACUUGGGCUUGGUUAAUCAUCUGGGGUUCUCCCCAGUGCACUUUUCCAGUCCAGGCCAGCAUCAGUUUUCGCCGGGGGAUAAAGGCUUCGGGAAUGUGGCUCUCUCCGGGGAGUGUUAUAGCCCGUUGCGUAAUACCCUGGCGGGGACUGAGGUUCGCGCAUCUGCAAGGAUGCUGGCGUAAUGGUCAUCAACGACCCGUCUUGAAACACGGACCAAGGAGUCGUCUUCGUAUGCGAGUGUUCGGGUGUCAAACCCCUACGCGUAAUGAAAGUGAACGCAGGUGAGAGCUUCGGCGCAUCAUCGACCGAUCCUGAUGUUCUCGGAUGGAUUUGAGUAAGAGCAUACGGGGCCGGACCCGAAAGAAGGUGAACUAUGCCUGUGUAGGGUGAAGCCAGAGGAAACUCUGGUGGAGGCUCGCAGCGGUUCUGACGUGCAAAUCGAUCGUCAAACAUGGGCAUGGGGGCGAAAGACUAAUCGAACCUUCUAGUAGCUGGUUUCCGC